GAGUUUGAUCCUGGCUCAGAUUGAACGCUGGCGGAAUGCUUUACACAUGCAAGUCGAGCGGCAGCGCGGGGCAACCUGGCGGCGAGCGGCGAACGGGUGAGUAAUGCAUCGGAACAUGUCCAUGUCGUGGGGGAUAGCUCGGCGAAAGCCGGAUUAAUACCGCAUGUGCCCUUCGGGGGAAAGCGGGGGACCGCAAGGCCUCGCGCGAUUGGGUUGGCCGAUGUCCGAUUAGCUAGUUGGUGGGGUAAUGGCCCACCAAGGCGAUGAUCGGUAGCUGGUCUGAGAGGAUGAUCAGCCACACUGGGACUGAGACACGGCCCAGACUCCUACGGGAGGCAGCAGUGGGGAAUUUUGGACAAUGGGGGAAACCCUGAUCCAGCCAUUCCGCGUGAGUGAAGAAGGCCUCGGUU
rnacentral:rRNA from 1 species